rnacentral:rRNA from 1 species
AUUGAACGCUGGCGGAAUGCUUUACACAUGCAAGUCGAACGGUAGAGGGGGCAACCCCUCGAGAGUGGCGAACGGGUGAGUAAUAUAUCGGAACGUGCCCAGUCGUGGGGGAUAACGUAGCGAAAGUUACGCUAAUACCGCAUACGAACUAAGGAUGAAAGCGGGGGAUCGCAAGUCCUCGCGCGAUUGGAGCGGCCGAUAUCGGAUUAGGUAGGUGGUGGGGUAAAGGCUCACCAAGCCAACGAUCUGUAGGUGGUCUGAGAGGACGACCAGCCACACUGGAACUGAGACGCGGUCCAGACUCCUACGGGAGGCAGCAGUGGGGAAUUUUGGACAAUGGACGCAAGUCUGAUCCAGCCAUGCCGCGUGCAGGAUGAAGGCCCUCGGGUUGUAAACUGCUUUUGUACGGAACGAAAAGGUCUCUCUUAAUACGGGGGGCUCAUGACGGUACCGUAAGAAUAAGCACCGGCUAACUACGUGCCAGCCGCCGCCGUAA